GAUGAAGAACGUAGCGAAAUGCGAUAAGUAAUGCGAAUUGCAGAAUUCAGUGAAUCAUCGAAUCUUUGAACGCACAUUGCGCCCCUUGGUAUUCCAUGGGGCAUGCCUGUUCGAGCGUCAUUUGUACCUUCAAGCUUUGCUUGGUGUUGGGUGUUUGUCCUGAGGGACUCGCCUUAAAGUAAUUGGCAGCCAGUGUUUGGUUUUGAAGCGCAGCACAAGUCGCGAUUCAAAGCUAUACGCCCGCUUCCACAAGCCUUUUUCACUUUUGACCUCGGAUCAGGUAGGGAUACCCGCUGAACUUAAGCAUAUCAAUAAGCGGAGGA
rnacentral:misc_RNA from 1 species